rnacentral:rRNA from 1 species
GAUGAACGCUGGCGGCGUGCCUAAUACAUGCAAGUCGAGCGAACAGAUGAGGAGCUUGCUCCUCCGACGUUAGCGGCGGACGGGUGAGUAACACGUGGAUAACCUACCUAUAAGACUGGGAUAACUUCGGGAAACCGGAGCUAUUACCGGAUAAUAUAUUGAACCGCAUGGUUCAAUAGUGAAAGACGGUUUUGCUGUCACUUAUAGAUGGAUCCGCGCCGCAUUAGCUAGUUGGUAAGGUAACGGCUUACCAAGGCAACGAUGCGUAGCCGACCUGAGAGGGUGAUCGGCCACACUGGAACUGAGACACGGUCCAGACUCCUACGGGAGGCAGCAGUAGGGAAUCUUCCGCAAUGGGCGAAAGCCUGACGGAGCAACGCCGCGUGAGUGAUGAAGGUCCUCGGAUCGUAAAACUCUGUUAUUAGGGAAGAACAAAUGUGUAAGUAACUAUGCACGUCUUGACGGUACCUAAUCAGAAAGCCACGGCUAACUACGUG